ACAUCUCCAUAAUUAGUUUUUUUAAAAUUAAUUAAGGGUUUUGAGGUUGUCAUUGUAUUAUGACUCCCUUUAAAAUAAUUAGUGAUGACCUUAUGAAUGGGUUAAUACUGUGUGUUAUAAUGGAUUACAUCCAUCACCAGUCAGAGAGUAAUCUCGCCUUAGUAAUUUGUAGUGAUUGCUUCUAAUCGCCUUUAUUGGCAAAUUAAAUGAUCA
rnacentral:misc_RNA from 1 species